rnacentral:rRNA from 1 species
GAGAGUUAAAUAGUACGUGAAAUUGUUGAAAGGGAAACGAUUGAAGUCAGUCAUGCUAGUGAAAAUUCAGUUUGGUGGGUUUUGGGUUCAGGAGUUGAGGCAGGGUCAAACCGUUUCUCUUUUGAACUUGGAAUUUGUCAGAUGCACUUUUUCUUUGGCAGGUCAGCGUCGAUUUCGGAGGUUGUAAAAUACUUGGGGAAAAGUAGCUCUGCUUCGGGAGAGUGUUAUAGACCUUGGGUGAUGCGGCCUGCGGGAUCGAGGAUUGCAGCAAAUGCUUUUGGCUUGUCGCCUGAUCUUUGGACGUCACCUCGCUUGUAUCAACAUUCUUGGUACCGGUGAGUAAUGGUGCUUAUGGGUUAGAGCGAUCAAAAAUUUUGCUAAGGAUGCUGACGUAAUGGCUUUAAACGA